GAUGAACGCUAGCGAUAGGCUUAACACAUGCAAGUCGAGGGGCAGCACAAGGUAGCUUGCUAUCUGGGUGGCGACCGGCGCACGGGUGCGUAACGCGUAUGCAACUUGCCCUAUACAGGAGGAUAACCCGUCGAAAGACGGACUAAUACUGCGUAUGCUCACAACUUGGCAUCAAGUAGUGAGGAAAGAAAUUCGGUAUAGGAUAGGCAUGCGUCCCAUUAGCUUGUUGGUGAGGUAACGGCUCACCAAGGCAACGAUGGGUAGGGGAACUGAGAGGUUUAUCCCCCACACUGGUACUGAGACACGGACCAGACUCCUACGGGAGGCAGCAGUGAGGAAUAUUGGUCAAUGGGCGAGAGCCUGAACCAGCCAAGUCGCGUGAAGGAUGACUGUCUUAUGGAUUGUAAACUUCUUUUAUACGGGAAUAACAAGAGUCACGUGUGACUCCCUGCAUGACCGUAUGAAUAAGCUCG
rnacentral:rRNA from 1 species